UACGUAGGGUGCGAGCGUUGUCCGGAAUUACUGGGCGUAAAGAGCUCGUAGGUGGUUUGUCGCGUUGUUCGUGAAAACUCACAACUCAAUUGUGGGCGUGCGGGCGGUACGGGCAGACUGGAGUACUGCAGGGGAGACUGGAAUUCCUGGUGUAGCGGUGGAAUGCGCAGAUAUCAGGAGGAACACCGGUGGCGAAGGCGGGUCUCUGGGCAGUAACUGACGCUGAGGAGCGAAAGCGUGGGGAGCGAACAGG
rnacentral:rRNA from 1 species